UACAGAGGGUGCGAGCGUUGUUCGGAAUUACUGGGCGUAAAGCGUGCGUAGACGGUUGCGUAAGUCAGAUGUGAAAGCCCCGGGCUCAACCUGGGAAUUGCAUUUGAGACUGCGUAGCUAGGGUGCGGAAGAGGGAAGCGGAAUUUCCGGUGUAGCGGUGAAAUGCGUAGAUAUCGGAAGGAACACCAGUGGCGAAAGCGGCUUCCUGGUCCAGCACCGACGUUCAGGCACGAAAGCGUGGGGAGCAAACAGG
rnacentral:rRNA from 1 species